GAUGAACGCUGGCGGCGUGCCUAAUACAUGCAAGUCGAGCGAACAGAUGAGGAGCUUGCUCCUCUGACGUUAGCGGCGGACGGGUGAGUAACACGUGGAUAACCUACCUAUAAGACUGGGAUAACUUCGGGAAACCGGAGCUAAUACCGGAUAAUAUAUUGAACCGCAUGGUUCAAUAGUGAAAGACGGUUUUGCUGUCACUUAUAGAUGGAUCCGCGCCGCAUUAGCUAGUUGGUAAGGUAACGGCUUACCAAGGCAACGAUGCGUAGCCGACCUGAGAGGGUGAUCGGCCACACUGGAACUGAGACACGGUACAGACUACUACGGGAGGAAGCAGUAGGGAAUCUUACGAAAUGGGGGAAAGCCUGACGGAGCAAAGCCGGGUGAGUGAUGAAGGUCUUAGGAUCGUAAAACUAUGUUAUUAGGGAAGAACAAAUGUGUAAGUAACUAUGCACGUAUUGACGGUACCUAAUCAGAAAGCCACGGCUAACUACGUG
rnacentral:rRNA from 1 species